AUUGAACGCUGGCGGCAUGCCUUACACAUGCAAGUCGAACGGCAGCACGGGUGCUUGCACCUGGUGGCGAGUGGCGAACGGGUGAGUAAUACAUCGGAACGUACCUUAUCGUGGGGGAUAACGCAGCGAAAGUUGCGCUAAUACCGCAUACGCCCUGAGGGGGAAAGCGGGGACCGUAAGGCCUCGCGCGAUUAGAGCGGCCGAUGUCUGAUUAGCUUGUUGGUGAGGUAAAAGCUCACCAAGGCGAUGAUCAGUAGCUGGUCUGAGAGGACGAUCAGCCAAACUGGGACUGAGACACGGCCCAGACUCCUACGGGAGGCAGCAGUGGGGAAUUUUGGACAAUGGGGGCAACCCUGAUCCAGCAAUGCCGCGUGAGUGAAGAAGGCCUUCGGGUUAUAAAGCUCUUUUGUCAGGGAAGAAACAGCAGCUCUAACACAGUCUGCGAAUGACGGUACCUGAAGAAUAAGCACCGGCUAACUACGUGCCAGCAGCCGCCGUAA
rnacentral:rRNA from 1 species